UAGUCCACGCAGUAAACGAUGAGUGCUAGUUGUCGGGAUUUUUCUCGGUGGCGAAGCUAACGCGUUAAGCACCCCGCCUGGGGAGUACGGCCGGCAAGGCUAAAACUCAAAGGAAAUUGACGGGGACCCGCACGAAGCAGUGGAGCAUGUGGUUUAAUUCGAUGAUACGCGAGAAACCUUACCAGCUCUUGAAUCCUGAUUACGAUUUUCAGAGAUGAAUUUUUCAGUUCGGCUGGAUCAGUGACAGGUGUUGCAUGGCUGUCGUCAGCUCGUGUCGUGAGAUGUCAGGUUAAGUCCUAUAACGAGCGCAACCCCUACCGUUAGUUGCUAGCAGGUCAUGCUGAGGACUCUAAACGGGCUGCGGGUGCAAACCGUGAGGAAGGUGGGGACGACGUCAAAUCAUCACGGCCCUUACGUCCUGGGCCACACACGUGCUACAAUGGCCGGUACAGAGGGAAGCCGACCACCGUAAAGUGGGCGCGGAUCUAUAAAACCGGUCACAGUUCGGAUCGGGGU
rnacentral:rRNA from 1 species